rnacentral:rRNA from 1 species
UACGUAGGGGGCAAGCGUUGACCGGAAUCAUUGGGCGUAAAGAGCGUGUAGGCGGCUCGGUAAGUCCGCUGUGAAAGUCCAGGGCUCAACCCUGGAAUGCCGGUGGAAACUGUCGAGCUCGAGUCCGGAAGAGGCGAGUGGAAUUCCUGGUGUAGCGGUGAAAUGCGCAGAUAUCAGGAGGAACACCAAUGGCGAAGGCAGCUCGCUGGGACGGUACUGACGCUGAGACGCGAAAGCGUGGGGAGCGAACAGG